AAGCAUGAAAUUAUAUCACAUGAUGUUGUUCAGUAGUAUAUGGAGAAUGACCAGCAAUAAAUAGGAUGAACAGAUGCAAGAGGAAGAACAAGGAAAUAUAUGCAAAAGGAAUAACAAGGAAAUAUAGUUUUAAAAUCAUGAUUUGUAUCAACUGAUGCACCUUUCUGUCUCUUAUUCGAUAAGAUCAACUUGCCACAAAGAUAACAUUGAAUAUAUGAGUAAAAUCAUACAUCACACAUGACUAAUAACAAGGAUUUCAUCGUGUAAUAGACAACAUGAAAUAGCAACAAAAAGUUGAUGGCACAUACUUCACUAACUCUAUCACAUCCAACUCUCAUUGAAUUGCUAGUUUAGAUAACAAAAACAUAAAGGGAAACCUAUCAAUGUACCCUUAUAUGAUAUAUGUUUACUCAAUUAUAUCCUUGUGAAAAAAAUAAUCAAUUGCAACAUUUAGUUUAUCCAUGUUCUCUAAUAUGUUCAUUCAAUCAAUUUUAUUUUUUUUUUUAAAUUAAUAAUCAGAGGCAUUGCACAUGGUAACUUUCUUAUGAAUCAACGUAAAUUCCCUUUCAAAAGUAUGUAAAAGGAAACAGCAAAGGCUUUAAAUGAGCAAAUUGUAACAGAAAAAAAUUGAUAGAUGAGCAUACAUCACAGAAAAUAUGGAUAUCUAAAGGUUAUGACUCAGAUUUUUUUCAUACAAGUGUACAAUUGAGAAGAUGUAUAUUAUAUAAGGUGGCAUUUGUUUUAUGUGAAACAUAAUAUGUUUUCCUGAUUUUCUCAUGUUUGUUUGGCAUAAAGUAUUUUAUAAGGAAAAUUGGUGAAUGAAAAAUAUUUGAUAUUCCUAUUCUCAAUCGACAAGGCCCUCCAAAUGCCAUGAUUUUCUUUUUUUUGUUCACUUUUCGAUCAACCUAUAAACUUGGUUCAUUUCUUAGACAAUAUUUUCAGCAUAAGAAGUUGCAUAAAAUAUUUUACUAAUAGUGAUCAUCUCACAAUAUCAUACAAAUAUUUCUACCACCAUCACCACCCCACUGCCAGCACCCAACACACCACCACCUUCAAAACUGCCUCCACCGUUCCACCAGCACGACCCUAUCACUCUAUCACCAACACCAGUGUCACCACACCACCACCACCUCAUAAAUGCACUUACAAGACAUUAAUCCGUUUAGAACAAGGAUGAUCUGCCCAUCCUAAGUAUUUCCCAAUCUUUCAUGUAGAAAAAGAAUUCUGAAGAUCUUCACUACCUUUAUGAGGAUGGAGAGAAGGAAAACAUUUGGGGGGAAGGAAGUUACCUUUCAUUGUUUGGGAAAGAAGGAAGAUGAGAGGAAAGGAAGUGGAGGGCAUAUACUUCCAUGGACUCACCAAAUAAGUGCAAGGAAAAUAAAUACAAUUACUCAAUUUACCUCAUGAUAAAUUUUCUUCCAUCACAAAAAUAAAGGAUGAGAAUGUAAUCUCAUAAACUUACCCUACACUUCCAUUCCCUUCAAAAAAAAUUUCUAUGCAA